AAAGAACUAUUUUAAUUUUUCAAAAACCUUUUCUUUGUGUGGAAUAAAACUUCCAAAACUGUUUUUCCAUCCUGAUGAUCAGAAGAGUGUUUGAGGGUCUCAGAGACCCUUCAGAACAACAUUAAGUGUUUAAAAUGACCUCUUUUAGCUGUUUAGGUGAUUACAAUCAUGUGAUUUCCAGGAAGUGCUGCAGCGCUGCAUGCUCUCUCUCUGCAGACUAUUUGCUGCUGUCUGUCUCUACAUGUUUUCUCUGUGUGUGUUUCUGCUGCUUCUUUGUCCCUCACUGUAAACAGAUGUACUGAGAGACUCCUGCACUGAUGUUUCAUAGGAAAGUCCAAACAGCCUCACUGGUUCUCCAUAAAGAACAAAGAUUUGCUCUCUGUGGCUCCAACACAACUUAAAGACAAUCAAAGGUGGACAAAGUUCUCCAGAACAGCUGUGCAGGAGGUCAUGACCUUUGACUUUAUUUAUUAGAACAAGUUUAUCUGAAUUAACUGACAGACAGAGUGGAAGGUUUUCUCUACAGGUUCAUUUCCUGUUACUUUAAUUCGUCUGUCACUUUGCAAUUGUGGUCGACUGUCGGUUGGAUGGUUUUGCAAAGAGAUGUCUGUAAAACAGGAAGUCAAAGCAAAACGAUAGACAGGUUAGUUAAGCUGGUUGUACACAGUCGAGUUCACCCACAGAGUAUUUUAAUUUACUAUUUCUUCUAAUUGCUUGUGUUGAAUAAACCUUCAGUAGGUUCCUUCUGACCUACAGAGAAAGCAGAUGGAUUAUACCAACCUCACACUUUUUAUCUUUAUAUGGAUUUUUGUUCCAUCCUGAUGAUCAGAAGAGUGUUUGAGGAUUUAACAGAUUUCUUGAGAACAACAUGGACGUUAACCCUGUAAAUCCUGAACCAUGAAAUCAUUGCUCGAUAAUUCAAACUUUAUUGGUCCAACGCAUCAAACGUCACUCCAACGUCACGUCCGUACGAGACGUUGCAUCCUGUAAGUGUGGAGUUUGACCGAGCGGCUGAACGACAGAUCUGUUCUAACAAUUUUCCACCCUGAUGACCACAGAGGCCUUUGAGGGUCCCAGACGUCCUUCAGAACAACAACCAGAAAAUCAUCACAGCUGAAUCUGGACAGAAUGUCACUCUGACAUGUCGAGCUUCAAACAACAUUAUAGCAGUAAACUGGAGCAGAGCUGACCUGGGAACAAAAUAUGUCCUUUUUUACCGGGAUGAGCAGUUUGUUCCAGACAUGCAGCAUCCAUCUUUUAAGAACCGGGUGGAUCUGCAGGACAGACAGAUGAAGGAUGGAGACGUGUCUUUGAUUCUGAAGGAUGUGACGAUUAAUGAUACUGGAACAUACGAGUGUCGUGUUGCCCAAAAAGAACCAAACCAAGAGAGACCCAGUUUGAAGCUCAUCAGCAUCAUCUACCUUCAUGUUGUUCCUCCAGGUCAGACAGGAGGAUCUGCUGGACUGAUUGUUGGUCUGUCAGUUUCUGCUGUGCUUCUUGUUGCUGCUGUUGCUGGAUUUUUGAUCUGCAGAAAACAUAAACAACCGUAGAGUCAGGAUUCAUACCAGCCUCCUGCUGAACUGCAGCCUGUUUGAAAUGUGAGUUCUUUACAGCUGAACUCCUGGAGUCUGAGUCUCCUGCUGAGCCAGACUUCAUUUAGUGUUAUUGAACAUUCAGAAGAUGAUCUGAGGACAGACAUCAGUCAGCUGUCGGUGAUUUGAAUUUACUGUUUUUGUUUGUUUGUGUGCAUCAGUAUUAGUUAUUAGUUUGUUUUAGUUUCCAGGUUAGUCGCUCAUCUCAGUGGAAGAGUUUAUGUUCUUAAACAGUGUUAUUUACACUUUUGCCUUAUUUCUAUGUGGAACAUUCAGGACUUCAUCAUUCAAACAAACACAAGUUGCAAAUCUAAGAAUAACAUCAGUGAUAUUCAACAAAAAAAAAAAAACCCAUUUAGUUUCAUUUUACAAACAUCUUCUCUGUCAGUCUCAGUUUGUUCACAGUGAUGAGUUCAGUGUUGUCUCUGUCACAAUAUCAGAAUCAGUGAGUUUGUUCCAUCUUCAGGUUCAGCUGUUUGUAAGGUCAGACUCACAGACUGAUCCUCAUGUUUAGAUGUUACACAAUAAUUACAGACACUGACUGACAACACAAACACAACACAAAGUGCUCAGGGUCCAUUUAUCAGCUAGAACUGAGUGACUGAAUAAUCUGAUAUUAUUAUGAAACCAAAGAGAAAUGUGUUACAUGGAGCUGCAGAGUCACAUGUUUCCUCCUCUGAUCUAUGAAGCCUUAACUUGUUCCUCCAUGAAGGAGACUCUUCAGUUUAAACACGUCAAGAUUAUUUAUUAUUUAAUUUUUAUAUCGGUUUGUUUAUCGAUAAAGUUUAAACGUGUUACUCUUGAAUGUUUUUCUUUUCUUCCUGUAGCUGUAAACAUUUCCUGACCUCCUGUUUAAAUGUGUGCAGAU